GACGAACCGUGCGAACGUUGUUCGGAAUCACUGGGCUUAAAGGGCGCGUAGGCGGCCGGGUUGGUCGUGGGUGAAAUCCCCCAGCUUAACUGGGGAACUGCCUACGAUACUGCCUGGCUCGAGGGAGGGAGGGGCGGUCGGAACUGUCGGUGGAGCGGUGAAAUGCGUUGAUAUCGACAGGAACGCCGGUGGCGAAAGCGGACCGCUGGCCCUCUUCUGACGCUGAGGCGCGAAAGCCAGGGGAGCGAACGGG
rnacentral:rRNA from 1 species